GGUGGUUAAGCAUUUGGCUCCUAACCAAAAUGUCGGCAGUUCAAAUCUACCAGCCACUC
rnacentral:tRNA from 1 species